rnacentral:rRNA from 1 species
UACGGAGGAUGCGAGUGUUAUCCGGAAUCACUGGGCGUAAAGCGUCUGUAGGUUGUUUGCUAAGUCUGCUGUUAAGGCUUGAAGCUCAACUUCAAAAAUGCAGCGGAAACUAGUUAGACUUGAGUGUGGUGAGGGGUAGAGGGAAUUUCCAGUGAGUGGUGAAAUGCGUAGAUAUUGGAAAGACCACCAAUGGCGAAGGCACUCUACUGGGCCAUUACUGACACUGAGAGACGAAAGCUAGGGGAGCAAAUGGG